GGAAGGCAUGCGCAUCCGGUGGUGCGGCUGGGCUUCAAACCCAGUGGGGGGCGUCAAUCGUUCCCCGGUAGGUUCGACUCCUGCUACCUUCCGCCA
rnacentral:tRNA from 1 species